UCUUUUCUGCCCCGAGGCGCCCUACAACUUGCUAUCUGUUUCGAAGUUGCAACAGGCUGGAGCUACUGUCAUAUUUGAUCACAGAGGUACCCGCAUAUGUAAGCAAGGUCAACAACUUGCAGAUGCGUUAACAAAACCAUUACCAGCGGUUACGUUUCAUGAAAUGAGGAGAAACAUGGGUUUACAAUAAUAAUAUUUAAUGAGUUGGCUACUAUUUGUUGUUAAUUUAAUUAUUCUGUUAUACUCAUUGUGUUCUGAUAAUUAUAUCUAAUGUAUAUAAUGUAUCGAAUUUAAGAUGAUGAAAUGAUCUGAUAAGGUUUUUCUGGGUUUUCCCUUAUCCGAGCAACAAAUGUUGGAUCAUUAUUUUUGUAUUUUCCCAGACUCGCUUGGAAGUUAUAUAGUUCUGUUUAGGCAUUUGAUUUGUACAAGAAUUAAUUUUUGAGGGGGCGUGUUGAUUUAUUUGAGUAAGAUUGCAAAAAUUAAUCAUUGUAUUGACUAUUUCCUGUCAUUUGAAUGAGCGAUCGAGCCGCCAUCUUGUCGAGGCGCCAAAUUGUCUUUACCUCACUCUGCUCCAGGUCAUUUCUGAUUCAUUCCAAUUUGUAUCGUGGUAGGAAGCAGACAUAUCACUUCCAAGUUAAACAGUGAAUAUAUUUCUUUAUUACGGAUA